UCCGGACCUCAGGUGAUCCGCCUGCCUCGGCCUCCCACAGUGCUGGGAUUACAGGCAUGAGCCACCGCGCCUGGCCAGAUUUUUCAAUAAAAGUGGCACUAAGCUCACUUGCCUCUCUUGCCUCCCCUUCCACCUCCUCCGUCUUCUCCGCCUCCACCACCCCUAAGACAGCACGACUGAUCCCUCCUCUCCUCUUCCUCCUCAGCCCACUCAACAUGAAGACCACGAGGAUGGAGACCUUUGUAAUGAUCCACUUCCACUUACCAGAUAGUAAACACAUUUUCUCUUCCUUAUGGUUUUCUUAACCACGUUUUCUUUUCUCUAGCUUACUUUAUUGUAAUAAUACAGCAUAUAAUUCGGGCUACAUAGGAAAUAUGUGUUCAUCGGCUAUUUAUAUUAUUGCAAGGCGUCCAGUCAACAGUAGGCUGUUAGUAGUUAAGUGCUGGGGGAGUCAAAAGUUUUCAACUGCGUGGGGCUGGGGCGCUAACCCCCAUGUUGUUUGAGGGUCAAUCUGCACUGGGUGCAGCUCAGGACAAGGGCUUCCUUGCUGACUCAGGAGACCUGGAGUGGUGCGGCCAUGGUGGGAACACAUUCCCCAGGUGGCAAUGAGUGGCUGGACUUGGCGUGGCUUUGGCCUGUAUCUGGCUGCAGUCUUACUGUAAAGCCGCUAAGCCUGGAGCAUGGUGUCAAGGGGGUGGAACGAUGAACCCCAUAGGGGAUUUAGAAACUGGAAUAAGAUAAAGGGUGAAAAAGUUUCAAGCACAAAAAUGUCCGAUAAAUGAUGGCUUCCUUUCUUGUCAAAAAGGCGGGGCUCAGCAGGGCGGGGUGGCUCACACCUGUAAUCCCUGCACUUUGGGAGGCUAAGGUGGGCGGAUCACGAGGUCAGGAGAUCGAGACCACCCUGGCUAACAUGGUGAAACCCCGUCUCUACUAAAAAUACACAAAAAAUUAGCCGGGUGUGGUGGCGGGCACCUGUAGCCCCAGCUACUCAGGAGGCUGAGGCAGGAGAAUGGCAUGAACCAGGGAGGCGGGGCUUGCAGUGAGCCAAGAUUGCGCCACUGCACUCCAGCCUGGGCGAAAGACAGCAAAACUCCAUCUCAAAAAAAAAAGAAAAAGAAGGCUGGGCUCAAGAUGGAGGCUCUGCCUCCUUCCUCCUUCAGGCCAUUGUCCCUGUGUUAAGCUGAGGACUCCACAGUGAGAGAACUCCACAGUGAGACGCCUCCAGCCUAGCAGCACUCACCCCUUCUCCUGCUCUCCUCACCUCGGUGUGUCAUAGGCAUUAUGCCCUAGUCUUCGAUACUCUCAUUUCUAAUUAGGAGACAAAGAACCGGGCCAAGAAUCUGAGCAAACGGAGAGCAGCUCCCUGCGGGGGCUCAGGAAACGCUUGCCAGCGUCCACCGGUUGGAGAGCUGGCGCCUGCUCAUCUGAGGGCAGGUCAUGUGGACGGCAGUGGGGCCACCGAGGGCUGGCACACAGAAGAAUGCAGACGGUCCUCUAGAAGCAGAAGGAACUGCCCUCUGAGGGUUAGUCUCAAAUUGCCGGCACCAAGCAGCAUCCCCGCACAGCACGUGGUGUGUGGACAUGCCACAGCAUCCGCGGGAGAAAACACACCUGACCCAGAAUUCUCGUGAGACACCACAGUGACUCGUAUUGACAUGCAGUGAGCUCUUCAAUAAAGGUAAUGAUCAAAUGGCCAUCACAUUCCAGAAAAAUCAAAUGCCACGUCAGCGAGUGAGGCUGGCCUCCUGGUUCUCGUGCGGCUCACGCGUUUGCUGGCUCCCUCUCUGCAGACCACUGCAGCAUUUGCCACAGUCUGGGUAAUGCCUGCUAGGGGCAGCUGAGAGCACGCUGACUUCCAGCUGCUUCUUUUUCCAUUCUGUUCUCUGUGUUUUUUAGUGCUUGUUGUGAUCCACUAGAAUUAAAUUUAUUUCAUGCUUGUGACUUACAGAUGAAAACAGUGCCUGCUGUCAAUCAGCUUUGACACUAGAAGUUCCUGGAUUAAACUGAGCCACGCGCAGUGGCCUCCCAUCCAGCAGGAGGGCCCAUGGGUUUCCCGUGUGUCACAGGGGCACUGAGUGUCUUCCAGUGACAUGGGUGCACGUGUGUGGGCACGCUUAUGGCAGGGCAGGGUCAAGGUGGCAGAACAUGCCGCUCCAGACCUCACGCAGCCGUCGGGAGGCCCCAGAUGUCUUUCGCCUCUUGGGCAUAUGCAACGAGAACAAGAGCGAGUUCCCAGCCAAGAGCACAGGGGAGCACAGCGGUCCCUGGGACUCUCCCUAAUGCAAGCUGCCACAUGAGAACCGGCAGAGGGAACGGGGUGAGAGAGCAGGCCGCUGCCCACUGCGCCCACUGGAGCAGUGCCAAGUACAGUGUGGAAGUCUGUGGAUCACACCCACACACACUGCAGGGGAUGCUGAGGCCCAGAAGUGGCACGGGCCACACUGACCUCCACAUGCCCGGCCCGCUUAGAGUCCGAGCAGUAAGGGUCACCCCAGAGGAAGAACACCCAAGAGAUCCGAGUGGCUGGGAGUCCUGAUUCCCCUGCAAUGACAUGCAAUGCAAACGCAUUUCCCUGGCAACCCGCCGCUCAAUAAACAUGAGCUGUGUGAACAUCUGAUCUUCAUUAAAAAUUUAAGGUGAGUGCUUGCCUAUGCCAAGGAAGACCAAAAACCAGCCCUGCCCACCACUGCCAGGGAGAGUCCAGAAAUCUCACGUGCAGGAAAUUCAGAGAUGGUCAAACUGUCCCCCGCCCCUCCCCGCCCACCACGUCCACCCUGACACAGCCCUUGAUGGGUCUAAUACACAGAUGGAAGGUGGGGGAAGCCAGAACCCACGUGACGCCCACAGGUCAGCCCUGAGCUGCGACUUAUCCAGACACGACUGCAUGUCCCCAGCCCUCGUCUCCGCUGCAGCUGCUGCUGUCAUACAGGGAUGCGCCCAAGUUUCGUUUUUUAUGGGAAACCUUCUGAUUGUAAAACAUUAGUUACGAUUUUAAAAGGAAGAGAAAAACUCACCAUGCAAAUCAAACACAGAAAAAAAUCUGUGGCCAAAUUUAGCCCAAAGACCUCUGCUCUGCAAGCCAGUGAGGCUGAGCCGUGGUUUUUCUGACCGCACGGAUGAUGAAGAAAAUCUCAUAGCAAGCCCCCAAAGUUCAUGAUGCUGGGAUAAGGUACCUGCCAAUUAUAACUUACUGCUAUUUCAUGCCAUAAAAUGUGACCUUUGACCCUUGUCAGCACACCAUUAGUAGCCACCAAUGUCUCCUCUUCUUUUUUUUUUUGAGACAGGUCUCACUGUGUCACCCAGGCUGCAAUCUCAGCUCACUGCAGCCUCGACCUCCCAGGCUCAUGCAAUCCUCCCACCUCAGCUUCCCAAGUAGUUGGGACCACAGGUGUGUGCCACCAUGCCCAGCUGUUUCUUUCUUUCCUUUUUUUUUUUGAGAGAUGGGGUCUCUCUGUGUUGCCCUCAGAGACCUGGUUGGUCUCUCUAACUCCUGGGCUCAAGCAAUCCAUCCACUCAGUCUCCCAAAGUGUUGGGAUUACAGGCGUGAGCCACUGUGCCCAGUCUUCUUAGUUCUAGGGACACAUCUCAAGUAAACAGUGUCCAUUCCCUGUGGAACCCACCCCAGAAAUCCUUCCUCCUCCUAACGUCGCGAUACCAGCCUAAGGGUGCUGUGGUCUGCGUGCCCCACUCUCAGGCAGGGGCCUGGUCAGCAUCCCACAGGACCACCCGGUGACCACCCAAGGUCCAUGGGCUUCUGAACAUCCUGCACAUGCCGCCCCAACACUCCCCUGGCCCAGCCACCCCCCCCGGCCCUACCACCCCCGCGGCUCCUUAGCAUGGAUGCUCCCUUAGCAUGCACAUGAGGCCUGGACCUGAGGAUGCCAAAUCAUUCCUCUCAGGAAACAGGGCUGUGGCAUGUGGACGGGCAUGUCACCUGCACAGCCCACGUGGCAGCCAACACACAGGACUGUGCUUUUCCUGUUAAGCCAGGAGGUUCUGGAGGGCAGGGUGGAAUUACACACCUGCGCAGCCCCUGUGUGUGGGUUCAGGAAAUGAAUCAGGCUAAUCCUAGACCUGCUUAGACGACACCUGCAGAACUGAAGUCCAUACCAGCUGGCAUCUCAACACAGAACACCCGCCGUCCCCACUCCAUGCUCACUGUCAGGUCACAGGAAACCUGCAUCAGCCUCCCGUCCUAGGGACGAGACGGGGUGUCCAAGGGCUCCAGGGACCGUACGGUGCCUCAGGGAACUUUGUCAUGGGAACUGGACUGAUUUUGCUCCAGGAACCCUGCUCUUCCCCCCGUGCACCCUGCUAUGUAAGGCCACGGGGGCUACUUAAACAAAUCCCAGAGUCCCUGCCUUUGAAGAGGGAGCUCACCCCAGAUUCUGGAGCAGCCUCGCUCUGAGUCCCCACUCCCCCACCUGUGAGCUGAGCUCUAAGUCCCACAUCUCCACCUCCGAGAAGAUAAGAAGGGGCGCCGCAGAGGGCUAUGAGGAUCCCACUGGGUGUGAAGCCCACAGCACUGCAGGGCAUGGUACACGCUGGCCUAAAUGGAAAGCAGCAUUCAGACAUCUAGUUCUGGCCGGAAUGAACCAAGCCCGACCGCCUGUCUCUCCCACCCGCUAUGACUGAUAGCUCUGGACAAGACACAAGAAACAGGCAGUGAACCGGGGACACCAGAGAUCCACAGCAGCAGGCCCGCUGGCUGGAGAGGCCGGUGUGCAGAGUCAGCAGCUGGGAGCCGGGUUUAUCUCCAGCUCUGGCCUCGGGGACGUCUGAGCUAUGGGGCAGCAGGGUGGGUGCAGGCCCCUGUCCCAGAGAAGCCAGGGUGUGCUGAGGGCAGAGGGGCACUCAGAGCAGAGGGGGCUGGAGCAGGAAUACUUGGCUCUGAGAAUGACCAGAUGAGUCCAGCCUCACUCCUGAGGGGCCAAAACAGGGCAGCCAGGGCCUCGGAGGCUGGACAGCCAGGGCCCACCUCCCUCGCCACAUGAGACAGACCUGCCAUCUGUACCCAGCCAGGCUGAGCACCUGCUUUUGAAAAAGAAAAAUUGGCUGGGUCUGGUGUCUCAUGCCUGUAAUUCCAGCACUUUGGGAGGCUGAAGCAGGAGGACUGCUUGAGGCCAGAAGAUUGAGACCAACCUGGACAACAUACUGAGGCCCUGUCUCUACAAAUAAAUUUUGAAAAUUAGCGAGAAUGAUGGUACAUGCCUGUAGUUCCCCCUACUUGAGAGGCUGAGGUAGGAGGACAGCUUGUGCUCAAGAGGCUGCAGUGAGCCAAAACUGAGCCACUGCACUCCAGCCUGGGAAACACUGAGACUGUAAAUUAAUUAAUUAAUUAAUUUAAUUAAAUAGAAAAAUUGUCCAAAUGACUUUAUUUUUUAUUAAUUUUUUUUAAGAGACAGGGUCUUGCUCUGUCACUCAGGAUGGAGUACAGUGGUACAAUCAUGGAACACCGUAACCUCCAAUUCCUGGCGUCAAAUGCUCCUCCUGCCCCAGCCUCCUGAGUAGCUAGGACUACAGGCAUGCACAACACCCAGCCUCCAAAAAACAUUAACAGGACUUGGCCUUACAAAAUAAUGUUCCAAAUAUCCAGGAAACAACCCACGAUAAAUCAGCACUCCAAGAACCAGGAAAUGUUAACGUUCUCAAGGGAAUAAUCAAAAGACGUCAAACCUGAGAUGACCCAGAUGUUGAUGUUAUCAGACAAAGACUUCAAAGUAGUCUUUGGCCGGGCGCGGUGGCUCAUGCCUGUAAUCCCAGCAUUUUGGGAGGCCAAGGCAAGUGAAUCACGAGGGCAGGAGAUCGAGACCAUCCUGGCUAACACGGUGAAACCCUGUCCCUACUAAAAAUACAAAAAAUUAGCCAGGCGUGGUGGUGGGCACCUGUAGUCCCAGCUACUCAGGAGGCUGAGGCAGGAGAAUGGCGUGAACCUGGGAGGCGGAGCUUGCAGUGAGCCAAGAUCGCACCACUGCACUCCAGCCUGGGUGACAGAGCGAGACUCCAUCUCAAAACAAACAAACAAACAAACAAAAAACAAAGCAGCUGUUAUAACCAUGCUCACUGAGACACAGUUGAACAUACUUGAAGUUUUCAGGAAACAGGCUGGGAGUGGUGGCUCACGCCUGUAAUCCUAGCACUUUGGGAGGCCGAGGCGGGCAGAUUGCCUGAGCUCAGGAGUUCAAGACCAGCCUGGGUAACAUGGCAAACCCCUGUCUCUACUUAAAAAAAAAAAAAAAAAAAAGCCAGGCAUGGUGGCGGGCACCUGUAAUCCCAGCUACUCAGAAGGCUGAGGCACAAGAACUGCUUGAACCCAGGAGGUGGAGUUUGCAGUGAGUCGAGAUCACGCCAUUACACUACAGUCUGGGUAACAGAGUGAGAGUCUAUCUCAAAAAAAAAAAGUUUUCAGGAAAGAAAUGGAAACUAUUGGAACCAAAAGGAAAAAUUUAAAACUGGAAAGUACAGUAUCUGAAAUUUAAAAAUCACCAGAUAGGCUUAGCAGCAGAAUGAAUCAGAUAGAGGAAUAGUGAAGUUGAAAAUAGGUCAGCAGAAAGAAUCUAUUCUAAAGAGCAGAGAGAAAGAAAUUGUUUUAAUGCACAAGCACCUUCUGCUUCUGGAAGGAUGGAUUAGCUGUGCUUUUCCUACUCCUCCUAUUAAGUGAAGCCCUGGACGUCACACAUGAAACAAACAUAAGAAGACUCUGACAGGCAGAGAAAAGGCAGCUGUUCAGGGCCUGGGAUCUGAGAAAGACACACGGCGUCCCCCUGGGGGUUUCCUUUGCCUCGUCUAUCUUGGAUUUGGAACUGGAGCAGCCUGAAACCUGGAAAUGCCAACAGGGUUCAGCCGCCGGGGUGCUCCCUAAAGAAAUUCAAAAGGCAGCAGGAGGGGUCGGGAGGGGAAGACCAGGGCCAGCUGGAGGCAGAAGCCAUCUGAGCCAGUCUGUGGCAAAAAGGGGACCAAGGUCAGCGAGAAAGGAGAGAAGAGGUGUGGGAUCCAAUACAGCCGAAUCGAGAACCCAGCAGAGGUGUGGGAUCCGGGACAGCCGAAUCUAGAACCCAGCAGAGGUGUGGGAUCCAGGACAGCCGAAUCGAGAACCCAGCAGAGGUGUGGGAUCUGGACAGCCGAAUCGAGAACCCAGCAGAGGUGUGGGAUCCGGACAGUCGAAGAAUCAAGAACCCAGCAGGCGGUGAGGGUGGGCCACUCGCUUAGGAGAGAGGCCGAGUAGCUGGAGCUUAUGUGCGGGUGACAGGCUGGCUGUCUCCAGGACAGAGGAGAACUCAUGCCCGGAAGUCCACGCUGGGCUAAUCGCUGAAGCCAUUAAGUUGAGAUGCAUCCUGGACCAGCUACAGGUUCCUGAGAUAACCCUCAAAAGGCAGGACUCAGCUGCAUUUCUCAUAGAAAACGCUGUUAUGCAAAAAUCUAGACUGUUAGAGAAGAAAAAUAAAUUGGGUGGGGGGACGGGAAGUAAAACACAUUAGGAGUUUCUUAAACACACAGAAAGUGUAUCUUCUCGAGUAUGAAAGUUUCUUAAAUACUGGUGGUUUAAUUUCUCUGGGAUAGAUCAUCAAAAAUGGAAUUGUUGGGUCAAAGGAUAUCACUUUUUUUUUUUUUUACAGUUUGAAAACACUGCCAGAUUACUUUCCAAAAACACCCUAGCAGUUCCCACUUCCCAUCCACCGGGUCUGCCAGCCCAGAAGCAUCCUGAAACUUCCCCAGCACAGAGCUGUGUUUUCGCCCUUCCCCAUCCCUUGCUGGAUGAGAGCAGCAUCUCAUCAUUGCCUUGGGUCAGUAUCUACUCAGACGCUCAGCAUCCACUACCGAAUGUUUUCUUCCGUGAAUCGCCUACUUAUAUCCAUUGCCAUUUGUCUAAUGGAUUGUCUGCCUUUUUUCCUAUCAAUUUUUAUGUAAGUUUAAAAUGUUCAAAAAAUGUUAACCUGGCCAGGCGCGGUGGCUCACGCCUGUAAUCCCAACACUUUAGGAGGCCAAAGAGGGAGGAUCACGAGGUCAGGAGAUUGAGACCAUCCUGGCUAACACAGUGAAACCCCGUCUCUACUAAAAAUACAAAAAAUUAGCCGGACGCAAUGGUGGGUGCCUGUAGUCCCAGCUACUCGGGAGACUGAGGCAAGUGAAUGGUGUGAACCCGGGAGGCGGAGCUUGCAGUGAGCUAAGAUCGCGCCACUGCACUCCAGCCCUGGGCGACAGAGUGAGACUCUGUCUCAAAAAAAAAAAAAAAAAAA